GAGAAAUUAUUUUAAUUAAAAUAUGAAUCUGUCAGAUUCAAGUUAUCAAAAGAUAUUUCUUU
rnacentral:tRNA from 1 species